UGAAAGGAUGUACUGCUAAAGCAACACGCGA
rnacentral:piRNA from 1 species